rnacentral:rRNA from 1 species
CCUACGGGUGGCUGCAGUGGGGAAUAUUGGGCAAUGGGCGCAAGCCUGACCCAGCAACGCCGCGUGAAGGAAGAAGGCUUUCGGGUUGUAAACUUCUUUUCUCAGGGACGAAGAAAGUGACGUUACCUGAGGAAUAAGCCACGGCUAACUCCGUGCCAGCAGCCGCGGUAAUACGUAGGUGGCAAGCGUUGUCCGGAUUUAUUGGGUGGAAAGGGCGUGUAGGCGGGUGCACAAGUCAGAUGUGAAACCUCAGGGCUCAACCCUGAGCCUGCAUUUGAACCUGUGGUUCUUGAGUGCUGGAGAGGCAGUCGGAAUUCCGAGUGUAGCGGUGAAAUGCGUAGAUAUUCGGAGGAACACCAGUGGCGGAGGCGGAUUGCUGGACAGUAACUGACGCUGAGGCGCGAAAGCGUGGGGAGCAAACAGGAUUAGAUACCCUAGUAGUC